UGCCAGCCGCCGCGGUAAUACGAAGGGUGCUAGCGUUGUUCGGAAUUACUGGGCGUAAAGAGCAUGUAGGCGGGUUUGUAAGUCAGAUGUGAAAUCCCAGAGCUCAACUUUGGAACUGCAUUUGAAACUAUAAAUCUUGAAUGCCUGAGGGGUUGGUAGAAUUCCUGGUGUAGGAGUGAAAUCCGUAGAUAUCAGGAGGAAUACCGGAGGCGAAGGCGGCCAACUGGCAGUGCAUUGACGCUGAGGUGCGAAAGCGUGGGGAGCAAACAGGAUUAGAUA
rnacentral:rRNA from 1 species